rnacentral:snoRNA from 1 species
UCAAAUGAUGUAAUAACAUAUUUGCUACUUCAGAUGGAACUUUGAGUUCCGAAUGAGACAUACCAAU